rnacentral:rRNA from 1 species
UACAGAGGGUGCAAGCGUUGUUCGGAAUUAUUGGGCGUAAAGGGCGUCGUAGGCGGUGCGGUAAGUCUGUAGUGAAAUCUCUGGGCUCAACUCAGAGUCUGCUGCAGAAACUGCCGUGCUUGAGUGUGGGAGAGGUGAGUGGAAUUCCCGGUGUAGCGGUGAAAUGCGUAGAUAUCGAUAAGGAAGACCAGUGGCGAAGGCGGGUCUCUGGACAGUUCCUGACGGCUGAGGCACGAAGGCCAGGGGGGCAAACCGGG